AUAACACAUUAGUCUCUUCUUUUUCUAACUAAUCUUCAGGAUUUACUUUAAGUUUGCCAAUGUGUUUUACAUGGUAAUAACUGCUUCUCUGUCCUGAACGAAUAGAUUAGUUAUAGGAAGAUUUGCAUGAUGGAGAAUCAAUAGGGCAAGUUUAAAUAUCCAGAUGAUAUGGGGAGAGGAAACAGGACAAAUUAAUCUGGAAAUUGUUGACAAAUUGUGAGCAAAGAAAUGAAAAAACUAUAUACUUUGGGGAAGAAAAAGAAGGUCUGUGAUGGCAAAAGUGAAAAUACCAGGAAAAUUCAGCAGAAACUGAUGCAGCAUUGUAAAUCAACUAUACUGCAAUGAAAAUCUAAAAUAAGAAAGGUGGGAGAAUUUAGGACGGGCCUGCAAACACAUCAACAGUGGAAACCGCAGUGGCAGAAACAGUCCUAAUGGCCAAGAAUCCCGUGCUUGUAUGAAUUCCCGGGUAAGACCUAGUUCCAUUCUUGACUUGAACCACAGACUUUUGGUAGCAAUUGUACUGUUU
rnacentral:lncRNA from 1 species